rnacentral:rRNA from 1 species
GUGAGGAAUAUUGGUCAAUGGGCGAGAGCCUGAACCAGCCAUGCCGCGUGCAGGAAGAAUGCCCUAUGGGUUGUAAACUGCUUUUAUUUGGGAAUAAACCUUUCUACGUGUAGAAAGCUGAAGGUACUAAAUGAAUAAGCACCGGCUAACUCCGUGCCAGCAGCCGCGGUAAUACGGAGGGUGCAAGCGUUAUCCGGAAUCAUUGGGUUUAAAGGGUCCGCAGGCGGAUUAAUAAGUCAGUGGUGAAAUCUCAUAGCUUAACUAUGAAACUGCCAUUGAUACUGUUAGUCUUGAAUAUGGUCGAUGUGGGCGGAAUAUGACAUGUAGCGGUGAAAUGCUUAGAUAUGUUAUAGAACACCGAUAGCGAAGGCAGCUCACAAGGCCAUUAUUGACGCUCAUGGACGAAAGCGUGGGGAGCAAACAGGAUUAGAAACCCGGGUAGUCC